GCCCUCGUCGCUCGAUGGUCGAGCGCCCUGCUUCGUAUCCAGGGUCUCCCGGUUCGAUUCCGGGCGAGGGCU
rnacentral:tRNA from 1 species